rnacentral:lncRNA from 1 species
CCUUUCAGUAGAUUUGGGUUUAAGGAUUCCAACGAGUCCAAGUCUUUAAUGUGAUGUUUGACUGAGUAUAUUUCUCUUUUUGGAAAGGCUCUAGCUAAUUUUAAUCUCUAAUCUGAUGAUUGAUAUUAAUGAAAGAUAAAGAAUUUUAGACUAAAUUUUAAUAUUUUUUUUCAUAAAACCUAAAUUUUAGUUUCGAAUGAACAUGUAAGAAAUAAAUGUUUCUGAAAUCUAAGUCUCAUUUUUCUUCAAUGAUACUCAGGAUAUUUUAGUCACAAAAUUUAAUAAAUAAAAUAAAAUAUGAUAUAUUUUGCUUUUUGAUUUUAUAACAAAGGGAGGGGAAUAUACUCACAUUAUAAUUAUCUGGGUCCAAAUUCAUGUGAAUGCACCAUCCAAGAUUGAUACACUAGAACCUCCACUCCCUAUAUGAAGAAAUAUAAUUCCCGAGACAACUUUUAGUUUAUUAAAAAGUAAAUAUCUUAAACAUUAAAAUUUAAAUAUAUGAUAAGGAAAAUAACAAUCUCACUAUGUGCACCAGUAUGGCCAUGCACACAGCCAAUCAUGACUGCUGAUUUCUAUGACGAUACUCCGAGACAUAUACUUGCUAGAUGAAGCCCAUAGGAAUCAAAGGUCAUGAUUGGUUGUGUGCACAACUACGUGGUGCAUACAGUGUAAGCAAUAAUUUCUCCUCUCAUCUAUGUGACCCAUAUCCUCCUAAAUUGCACUGCCUUACAUAGGUAGUGGAAAUAGGGUUUACGUUGGUGUGCACCUAGAGCUACCUCAAGCUAUCAAGCACCUACCUUGCAUUUGCCUUCACAACAUUGUCAAAAAUAAAUAAAUAAAUAAAUAAGGCAUAGAUUCUUUAUUUCUAUAGAUUAAUUGUAUAUAAAGAUAUACUUUUAUUUACGUCCAAACCAAAAGCACUCAUAUCCCAGAAUUUCCAUAAGAGGAUCUCAAGUUGCUG